rnacentral:rRNA from 1 species
ACGGGAGGCAGCAGUGGGGAAUUUUGGACAAUGGGCGCAAGCCUGAUCCAGCAAUGCCGCGUAAGUGAAGAAGGCCUUCGGGUUGUAAAGCUCUUUUGUCAGGGAAGAAACGGGGUUGGCUAAUAUCUGAUCCUAAUGACGGUACCUGAAGAAUAAGCACCGGCUAACUACGUGCCAGCAGCCGCGGUAAUACGUAGGGUGCAAGCGUUAAUCGGAAUUACUGGGCGUAAAGCGUGCGCAGGCGGUUUUGUAAGACUGUCGUGAAAUCCCCGGGCUCAACCUGGGAAUGGCGAUGGUGACUGCAAGGCUAGAGUUUGGCAGAGGGGGGUAGAAUUCCACGUGUAGCAGUGAAAUGCGUAGAUAUGUGGAGGAACACCGAUGGCGAAGGGCAGCCCCCUGGGUCAAAACUGACGCUCAUGCACGAAAGCGUGGGGAGCAAACAGGAUUAGAUACCCUGGUAGUCCACGCCCUAAACGAUGUCUACUAGUUGUCGGGUUUUAAUUAACUUGGUAACGCAGCUAACGCGUGAAGUAGACCGCCUGGGGAGUACGGUCGCAAGAUUAAAACUCAAAGGAAUUGACGGGGACCCGCACAAGCGGUGGAUGAUGUGGAUUAAUUCGAUGCAACGCGAAAAACCUUACCUACCCUUGACAUGGCAGAAAUCCUCGAGAGAUUGAGGAGUGCUCGAAAGAGAAUCUGCACACAGGUGCUGCAUGGCUGUCGUCAGCUCGUGUCGUGAGAUGUUGGGUUAAGUCCCGCAACGAGCGCAACCCUUGUCAUUAGUUGCUACGAAAGAGCACUCUAAUGAGACUGCCGGUGACAAACCGGAGGAAGGUGGGGAUGACGUCAAGUCCUCAUGGCCCUUAUGGGUAGGGCUUCACACGUCAUACAAUGGUACAUACAGAGGGCCGCCAACCCGCGAGGGGGAGCUAAUCCCAGAAAGUGUAUCGUAGUCCGGAUUGUAGUCUGCAACUCGACUGCAUGAAGUUGGAAUCGCUAGUAAUCGCGGAUCAGCAUGUCGCGGUGAAUACGUUCCCGGGUCUUGUACACACCGCCCGUCACACCAUGGGAGCGGGUUUUACCAGAAGUAGGUAGCUUAACCGCAAGGA